rfam:Zea mays cultivar B73 chromosome 10, whole genome shotgun sequence.
UAGCUCAGUUGGUAGAGCGUAAGGCUCUUAACCUUGUGGUUGUGGUUUCAAGCCCCAC